AUUGAACGCUGGCGGCAGGCCUAACACAUGCAAGUCGAGCGGUAACAGGAAAUAGCUUGCUAUUUUGCUGACGAGCGGCGGACGGGUGAGUAACGCGUAGGAAUUUGCCCAGUAGUGGGGGAUAGCCCGGAGAAAUUCGGAUUAAUACCGCAUACGCCCUAAGGGGGAAAGCAGGGGAUCUUCGGACCUUGCGCUAUUGGAUAAGCCUGCGUGAGAUUAGCUAGUUGGUGAGGUAAGGGCUCACCAAGGCGACGAUCUCUAGCUGGUCUGAGAGGAUGAUCAGCCACACUGGAACUGAGACACGGUCCAGACUCCUACGGGAGGCAGCAGUGGGGAAUAUUGCACAAUGGGCGAAAGCCUGAUGCAGCCAUGCCGCGUGUGUGAGAAGGCUCUAGGGUUGUAAAGCACUUUCAGUAGGGAGGAAAGUCGAUAGUUAAUACCUAUCGGCCGUGACGUUACCUACAGAAGAAGCACCGGCUAACUCCGUCG
rnacentral:rRNA from 1 species